rnacentral:rRNA from 1 species
UACGUAGGGGGCGAGCGUUGUCCGGAUUUAUUGGGCGUAAAGAGCUCGUAGGCGGUUUGGCAAGUCGGGUGUGAAAACUCCGGGCUCAACUCGGAGACGCCACUCGAUACUGCCAUGACUCGAGUCCGGUAGGGGAGUGCGGAAUUCCUGGUGUAGCGGUGAAAUGCGCAGAUAUCAGGAGGAACACCGGUGGCGAAGGCGGGUCUCUGGGCCGAUACUGACGCUGAGGAGCGAAAGCGUGGGGAGCGAACAGG